AAAAAAAAAAACUAUAAUUUGCAUGCCGUGAUCAAAUUGGUGUAUCAAGUCUACCCCCUUAUGUACCCUAUAUUUAAUUAAGUGGCAUGUCACGUCUUCAUAACCAUACCAUGUACCAAGGAGUACAACAUUCCAAGUAACUAUGUGUGGGACCAUGUAAGAUGAUAGCAGCACCAUGCUGUAGGGUAAGCUAAUAAGCUUCAGGCUCCUGAACUUGACCCUCUUUCUGAGAACUCUUAACACAUGCAUGUGUGCAUGCAUGCAACAUUGGUGCAAAAGUGUGCUCGAUUAGUUUCAGGCUUAAAUUGAUGGUUCAAUUCCAAAAUUCUGCUUAUGUUAAUGUCUUUGUCUGAAAUAUGUAAUUUUUUCCCCUUUUUUCUGAUCUACAUUUGUAGGGAGUGGGAGAAAU
rnacentral:misc_RNA from 1 species